rnacentral:sRNA from 1 species
GUUCCGGGUCCCAAGAUUUGGCUCCAAGAGCUAUUCGCAGAGCAACAGACUCGCACAAAAAACCACCGCCCCCGAAACCCGCGGGAAAUCUGUUUCCUGUGAGAGGCCUGGCCUCCGGGCAUUGGCGGUUUCCCUGAUCCUCUCUCUCAAAUUUUCCGGCAGGGGAUCGAUCGAGGCGACAUUUAGGACUGCGGUGGGCGAGGGAGUGGCGGUUCUCGUCCCAAGUUACAGGUGAGGACGUGCAGGCCAAGGCGUAGCCAAGAUCGCACCGCCCUGUAGCUGGAGGAGGCGCCGGGAUUCGAACCAAGGCUGUGCCCAAUCCUAAGCCCUGCGAAGUCUUGUGGAACCGACAUGACCCACUCUUUGGUUUGUCCAGAGACAGUGAGCAGGUAAGAGUCUGUGGGGACAGGCAGUGGGGAGGCCCUAAGCCUGGGGUCGAGUCCUCAGUGGAUAGAGCUGGGGGUCAGGCCCUCCGCGGAGCUGAGAGCUGGUCUCAGCCCCUCUCUUCGCCGUGAUCUGGUGCCUCCAGGGUGAGUUCAGUGCUGAAUCGCAACACUCGGCAGUUUGGAAAAAAACAUCUUUUCGACCAGGAUGAGGAGACAUGUUGGAACUCAGACCAGGGCCCCUCCCAGUGGGUGACGCUGGAGUUUCCCCAGCUCAUCUGUGUCUCCCAGCUGCAGAUCCAGUUUCAGGGUGGCUUCUCCAGUCGCCGGGGCUGCCUGGAAGGUACUAGAAGGCCCUGGGUGGCGGGGGUUCCAGGGGUCACCCCCGACACUCAUUGCCUUUCUCUGUUGAAGGUUCACAGGGCACUCAGGCUCUCCGCAAGAUUGUAGAUUUCUACCCUGAGGACAACAACUCGCUUCAGGCUCACACUUUCCCCAUACCAGCUGCUGAAGUGGACCGGCUGAAGGUGACGUUUGAGGAUGCCACUGACUUUUUUGGCCGUGUGGUCAUCUACCACCUGCGGGUGCUUGGGGAGAAGGUGUGAGACCUCUGGGGGCUGUCUCCUCCAGGAAGCCCUCCGGGAAGCACAGCAAAGU